rnacentral:rRNA from 1 species
UGUCGCAGCGGUACAUUUCUAGCUUGCUAGAAGAUGACGAGCGGCGGACGGGUGAGUAACACUUAGGAAUCUACCUAGUAGUGGGGGAUAGCUCGGGGAAACUCGAAUUAAUACCGCAUACGACCUACGGGAGAAAGGGGGCACUUGUUGCUCUCGCUAUUAGAUGAGCCUAAGUCGGAUUAGCUAGAUGGUGGGGUAAAGGCCUACCAUGGCGACGAUCUGUAGCUGGUCUGAGAGGAUGAUCAGCCACACCGGGACUGAGACACGGCCCGGACUCCUACGGGAGGCAGCAGUGGGGAAUAUUGGACAAUGGGGGAAACCCUGAUCCAGCCAUGCCGCGUGUGUGAAGAAGGCCUUUUGGUUGUAAAGCACUUUAAGCAGUGAAGAAGACUCUUCGGUUAAUACCCGGAGACGAUGACAUUAGCUGCAGAAUAAGCACCGGCUAACUCUGUGCCAGCAGCCGCGGUAAUACAGAGGGUGCAAGCGUUAA